AUGACAUACACCUACUCUGGAGACUCACAGGUCUGCAAUAUCCAAAUACCUCGAACAUACAGUCACGCUGAAACUGGCCUCGGAGAAAAGGCAGCCUUGUUCCCCCAGCAGGCUAGGCCCCAGUGCUGGGAGCUGUCUCCACAGGACACCAAGGAGAAAAACUCUCACCCUGACCCGCUGAGGGUGGGCACUGCCCCCCACCCACACCUCUCACCCUGUGCUGCAGCUGGACAGAAAGGCUUGAGAAGCCAGGACAUUCCAGAGGCCAAGGAGAGGGCGGAACUGAGGAGGGCCCGAGACACAGAGCUCCACUUCUCACCGGAGCCACUGUGGCCAGCACGAGUUACGGAGCACCUGGGGCAGUACAGGCGGGAGAUCCAACGGUGCCGGACGCCGGCGUCCACGUGGGAGCGGAGCAAGGCGCACACGCACAGAGGCACCGGAUUUUCCUCAGAGAGGCUCCAGCAGACAAAAGCUGAUGGAGGAAAGCGGCGGAAGAGAAGAACUAUGGGCAGGCAGGCCUCCCGCGGAGGAAAUGCCAGAAAGUGCUGGCUAACUCCUGGUGCACAGAAAAUGAAGGUGAAGCUUGAAGUGCCUACAGCAGAAAAACACCAGAACAUCUGCAUCAUUUUCUCUUCAUUAACGUCUAGCUCCUGCCUGGCCAUUAUAUUUACAUCACUUUGUGUUUGCCUCUGAAAAUACAUUCCCAGGUAUUGAUGAAGAGUUUCUUAAUUUUUUUACAAUCAUUGCAUAACACAUGAAUACAUCAUCCCUCAGUGCCUCCAGAGCUAUCUGGCUUUCUAAUGCAUUUUUUUUGUUUUUGUGUUUUUUAAAAGACUUAUUUAUUUAUUUGAAAGGCAGAGUUACAGAGAGGUAGAGGCAGAGAAAGAGAGAGAAGUCCUCCAUCCUCUGGUUCACCCCCAAAAUGGCCACAACAGCUGAGCUGGGCUGAUCUGAAGCCAGGAGCCAGGAGUUUUGUCCAGGUCUCCCAUGUGGGUGCAGGGCCCUGAGCACUUGGGCCAUCUUCCAUUGCUUUCCAGACCAUAGCAGAGAACUUGAUUGGAAGUGGAACAGCCAGGACUUGAACUGGUGCUCAUAUGGGAUGCCACCACUGCAGGUGGUGGCCUUACCCACUAAGCCACAGCACCAGCCCCUCUAAUGCAUUGUUAA